rnacentral:rRNA from 1 species
UACGUAGGGCGCGAGCGUUGUCCGGAAUUAUUGGGCGUAAAGAGCUCGUAGGCGGCUUGUCACGUCGGGUGUGAAAGCCCGGGGCUUAACCCCGGGUCUGCAUUCGAUACGGGCUAGCUAGAGUGUGGUAGGGGAGAUCGGAAUUCCUGGUGUAGCGGUGAAAUGCGCAGAUAUCAGGAGGAACACCGGUGGCGAAGGCGGGUCUCUGGGCCGAUACUGACGCUGAGGAGCGAAAGCGUGGGGAGCAAACAGG